UGCGAGGAGGGCGUGGCUUCUGCUCCUCUGUGUCCCAGCCACUCCUCCUGUACUCAGGCCCCAGCUCCUCUGUUCUGCCCAGUGGCCUGGCGCAGGAAAGGUGACCCAGUAGUUCAGCCUGUCCCAGCUGCCUGCCCCAGCACCAUCCCAGACCCCUUUCCCUGGGGCCCACCUUGGCCCUGAGGAAGGCCAGAGCUCGGCUGCUGUUCUCCAGGAAGUGCACACGCAGGCGGCCCCGGCUCGGGGGUGGCAGGGCCUCCCCUGAGAUGAGCUCCAGCAGCCGCAGGAGGUGGAUGCCGUCAGCCAGCUCUGUGUACAGGUUCCGGAUCUUGAUGCCCGCCUGGGGAGGGGACAGGGGUAAGUAUGGGGUCAGCCCAGCCUCACCUGUCCUCCCAUCCUGGGACCUGAGAGGUACGACCCAGAGCAGCUGCUUUGGAAGAAGGAGCUCUGGCCUCAGCUUGGCCUCAGGCAGAUGACCCCACAGCUCACCCCGGAGGCCCACUGGCCAGAGCUGGGGGCCUGGUAUGGGUGGGCUGUGGGUCACAGCUGGCUAUACUCACCUGGCCGCACUGGAAGACGUUAUUGAUCCACUUGGUGAAAGUCUUCUCCUGCAUCUGCAUGUGCCGGGCCUGUAGCUUGCGAAUGUGGCCCGUCUCGUACUGAGAGUCCAUGGUGAGACUUGGACUGGGCGGGACCCGGAGUUCUGUGCUGGGCCUCCUGCUGCGGUGCCCUGCAGCCCCGAGGAGCUCCCGGGGACUGUGGGGCUGACCAGCCAUCAGCCCUGCAGACUUUGGGGAUGAGGAGCUGCUGGAUGGCUCCCUAAACCUGGAGGGCAUGCAGAUUAGGGGAUGAUGUGAAUGGAGAUGGCCCCUCUACCAGGGGCCUGGGGUCCCGCCUUGCCAGACUGUCCUCACAUUUCAUGGGGGUUGCAGCUUGGAGCCCAGCCAGGUAAGGGCCAGUGCUUCUGGUCCCCUGUGCUUGAAUGGCCCAGGGCCCCCUUUGCCCCACCCCACCUUCCAGAUUCUUCUUCUCAGAGCCCCUGCUGCCAGGUCCCUCCACCACAGUGACUGGGACAGGUGGAAGGAAGACAGGAAACUGCUUACCUUGGUGAUGCCUGGGUCCCACAGAGACGGCUCUGCUGGACGGAUGGAGAUGGUAGAUAGCAGGGGCUGCUUACCUUGGUGAUGCCUGGGUUCCACAGAGGCGGCCCAGCUGGACGGAUGGAGAUGGCAGAUAGCAGGGGCUGUGGAGGGAGGGAGAGGGACAUCAGGAGAGGCCAAGGCUGGAGCAGGGCUGCACCACAGCCCUCCCCUUGAGCCAGCGUGCUGGGGUGACGGCACACAGGCGGCAUUGUCCUCCCACCUGCCACAGGGCGUGGCCCAGACAGGGAGGGGGUGGUUCAGGAAUGCUCCAGGGCCAUUGCCAGAUGAUGUCCUCCUUCAUCAUCCUCCCUUCCCCGCCAGCAACUUCUCCAACUCCAGGUGGGGGUCCUGGCUCCCAGGACGCAGAGGCCCAUGGAGCGGCCCUGCCACCGCAUGGGGUGCUGCAGUCUGCGUAGGAGGUACCAAAGGGCAGAGCCUCUGUGGGAAGCCUGUGGACGCACUUCCCAAUCUGAGACUGCCCUCUGUACCCUCUUGGGGCCUCUCUGUGAGCACCCAGGGCGAGGGGAUGAGGGAGCGUCCUGGGCCGUGGUCUUCUCAUUCACCCCCAGGGAACAGCCCAUAGACUGAGGGCCUCACAGACCCUGGGCUUGGCUUUCCAGGCCCUGCCAGAGUGCAGCCUGCCUAGCCCGGGGCUGAAGGGUAGGCUCCCUGGAGGAAGGGGUGACCUGGAACUGCGAGGGCUGUGGAGUCUCCUCCAAAAUUAGAGACACGGUGUUAACUCUGGGCUCCACAGAGCUGGCCGUGGCCCGGGGCUCGGAGGCAGGGGUGCAGAGGGAGCUGGUGGGCGCCCAUCCCUUCCUCCCCGAGCAGCCGUGGACUACAUGCCAGAGUGAAGGCGAGUUCUAAUUCUGGGGGUCUCACCCGCCUCUGGCUAAACUCAGGGUAGCAGUGUGGGCUGGGGUGUGUGUGUGUGGGUGUCUUCCAGCGGCCCUGGAGCCUCUGAAGCGACAGCCCGCUCCUCAGGGAGGCGCUCCUGGCAGCCACAGCCCACAGCAGGACAGCCGCUCAGCGCGCCCUUGAGAGCUGGGCUAGGGAUGAGUCACACUUGAACCGCCUGGGCCCACUGCAGGCAGUCAGGGGUGACGCUGAGAGGUGCCGUGGUCUCGGGUGGGGUGCGGCUUCCUGCGUCUGAGAGACGCUUCCUCUCCUGCUGUCCUCUCCCUGCCAGGCCCCUUCUGCAGCGGCUGGCUUCCAGACACCCUGCGUCCCUCCCUUGCUCGCAGCAGUUGCUGUGGCGGUCCUCCCGUGCACCCCCCCUUCUGCCCUCACUGCCCCUGGGGGUCCUCAUCACGGACCCCCUAACUCGGCAUCCUGGACACCACCACCCCGCACCUUUCCACAGUGCAGCUCUGCUCGUGCCUGUGAAGCCUCCCACAGCCUGGGAAGGAAAAUCCAGACUUGCCAGACCUUGCCUCAGCCAGGCCUUGGAAGCCUGCCAGCUUACCUAACCAGGCUAGUCUGCCCCCCUCACUCUGGGUGCUCUCCAUGGGCCACUCACCAUUUCCUGAGCAGGACCAGAGCUCUCCUGCCCCAAGGCUGGGCUUCAGCUGCUCUUUCAGCUUUGAACGUCCUUUCCCAUUCUCCAUCAUCCACAUUCACCUAUCCUGCCUGCCCCAGUUAAAAUCCUGUUUCUUCUAGGAAGUCCCUCAUCCCACCCGCUUACCCCAGGGAGACUGAGCUUGUUCCUUCUCCUAGUAAGACCCUCAGCCCAUGGAGUCCUGUGUGAUGUUGUGAGCGUGGGAGGACAGACUGAACUGCUCGGCCCGUGGAGUCCUGUGUGAUGUUGUGAGCGGGGAGGACAGACUGAACUGCGUGGUGCUUCGCACAUAGACCUCAACAGGGAUUGGCAUUUUGAAGCUGUUGGCGGGGGCUGUGGACUGCUUUUCUUCCUUUCUAGCUCAACGGCAGCUAAAGCCACUGCAUACAAUGCAAGGACUGGCUCCUGUUUGGCCACGACUGAUUGCAGCCCCUGGUGAAAUGAGAACCCUGUGGGUCGGAACAAAGUUUGGAUUAUUUAUGUUGCAAGUAACUAAAAUCUCAAGUGAAACUGGUUUAAACAUUAUAUUUUUAUUAUUUAUUUAUUUAUAUUUAAUUCUUUUUUAGAGACAGGGUCUUCUUAGGUUGCCCAGGCUGGUCUUGAACUCCUGGCCUCAACGAUCUUCCCACUUCAGCCUCCUGCAUUGCUGGGAUUAUAGGCAAUUGUCUCAGGCAUCCUCCAGGCAUCAUGAAGGAGGGUGAGCGAGGGUGCGAGGUGGAAAGGUCCAGGCCGCGGCUGUGACUCCCGCGGGUGAACCACAGCUCCACAGCCCCAAAUCCAAAGAUGCAACCCUGCCCCCAGGCCAUCCAAGUGCGAACAUUACCAGGUGCCAGCAGGGAAAGGACUCCGCUGCCUGACGCCUCUCCCACCUGAGAGCGCAGAGUUCACCCUUUGGUGACCUCCACCGUGGCUGCAGACUUCAGGUGGUCCUCACGCAUUCACAGAACUGUCUGC
rnacentral:lncRNA from 1 species